CAAAAUCAUCUGUGCUUGCACAGAAAUGAUUUUGAAAAUUAGAGGGGUGCCCACAAAUGAGCAUAAAAGACUGACAAAGUCAGUCGAUAUGCGAAUUUGUGGUUGGAUUGCGGAAAUGCAACCCACGGAGCAAUCC
rnacentral:sRNA from 1 species